CGAGGAAACUCUGGAGAAUCUCUUUAUGAGUGCCGAAGGUGCAAGGCUGGAAACGGCUCAAUCUCUCAGGCAAACGGACAGAGCGUACACA
rnacentral:ncRNA from 1 species